ACAUAUAUAUAAGAAAAAGUCUCUCUUCUUUCUAAGCUAAGCAUAGGAGGAGGAGAGAAAGUAAUGGCAAAGGGAAUCAGAAACCUAAGUUGUUGGAUGGAGGUUGCUCCGGCACCGGUGAUCUUCCCAACCAAGCCAUCCAAUUCGCCCAGAUUGGAGACAAUUGCUGAAGAAGAAGCUGCUGAGGGUUAUGACCGUCAUCAAAACAAGCACGCACUUCUGUCCAAGGUAGUACAUAUCAUAAAGUGGCAUGGCAAAUGAAAUCAAGUACUUGUUCUUGGCGUCGUGUGUUGUGGAGUUUGCGCCCUCUCCAGUGAUUCCUCUGAGGAAAGUUUCACUUUUUCCUCGAUUGGAAACUAUUGCAGAAGAAGAUGCUGAAGAAUUGGAUGAUGAUAUUGAUGAAGAAUUGGUCCACUCUAUGUAAACUUGCACAAAGAAGAAUGGAUGGAGUUCCACUUCCACAACAAUCGACAUUAGAGUUUUUGAGUUUGUCAAGUUGUGGUGUUCAAAUAAAGAUUUUGUUUUGAUUUCCUUUUGUAAUCUAAUGAAUAAUUAUUACUGUAUUCUUCUCUA